CCUACGGGCGGCAGCAGUGAGGAAUAUUGGUCAAUGGACGAGAGUCUGAACCAGCCAAGUAGCGUGAAGGAUGACUGCCCUAUGGGUUGUAAACUUCUUUUAUAAAGGAAUAAAACGAGGCACGUGUGCCUUUUUGCAUGUACUUUAUGAAUAAGGAUCGGCUAACUCCGUGCCAGCAGCCGCGGUAAUACGGAGGAUACGAGCGUUAUCCGGAUUUCUUGGGUUUAAAGGGAGCGUAGAUGGGUUGUUAAGUCAGUUGUGAAAGUUUGCGGCUCAACCGUAAAAUUGCAAUUGAUACUGGCAGUCUUGAGUACAGGUGAGGUAGGCGGAAUUCGUGGUGUAGCGGUGAAAUGCUUAGAUAUCACGAAGAACCCCGAUUGCGAAGGCAGCUUACUAAACUGUGACUGACGUUGAUGCUCGAAAGUGUGGGUAUCAAACAGGAUUAGAUACCCGAGUAGUC
rnacentral:rRNA from 1 species